AUGUGACAGGAUUGGCAAAGCCCGUCCUGCUCUUGGAUUGGUUGGUCGUUGUGUUCAUUGAUCAGCCUAUCACUGGGCAGGGGGAUGUAUAAAUUUGACUGCGAAGCAGUAUGGUGUUAUGCGUUACGCCCCCUUUCUGCGUCAUCUCGAGUCGCCGGUCAGGUAUGUGUUGGUUAUGUUGGUUGAGGGUUUGUAGUGUGUUGUGUCUUAUUAGUAUUUUCCUUGUCUAGAGUGGUUUAUUUGGACACACCUUGCGACUGGAGCUUGGUUGACGUGUUCCCUCUCGAUAGUGAGUCUGCGGGAGACUUUAACAGUACCGACCGCUGCCUGAUGUUACCCGGUGCCGUUGUGUGCUGUGAGAUCUCUUUAUUUGAGUGAGCCCACGGGUGCACAGAGGGCUGUGACGUGAUUUGUGGGGAGAUCGCACACAUACGAUCGUGUUGUCUCGUAUCAGCGGCUCCUGUUUCCCUGUACACAUUAAUCCCAGAUUGACAGAACGAGCCUGCAGCUUUCUACCUUAUCCUUGAAUUUAUCUGUGCUUCCGGAUCGCUCAUUCAACCGGUACGUGUUUUUAAAGCGUAAUAAACAUUUUGCAUGUACACUGUUUAAUGUGUUCUAUUUUUAACUUCAUUACAGACUUGUUGCGUCUAUGGGCGAUUAAUAUUUGUGCAGUCAGGGCUUCGUGGGAAGUAUCGUCCAGAGGCGCUGUUGCUUUGCCUGUAAUUUAGUGUGUGUGUGUGUGUGUGUGUGUGUGUGUGUGUGUGUGUGUGUGUGUGUGUGUGUGUGUGAUUGAAGCUUAUUGAACGUGAUUGUUUCUUUAGUUUUGUUGCUUUUCUUUUACUGUGAUAUUUGAGUGCUAAAGGUUGUUGUUUCUUUUUGUUUAAUGUUUUUUUUGAUUUAUUUUUGUAUUUUAUUAACUCUAAUUUAUUGAGUUAAUUUGGUUAUUGAAGAGGGAUAAUAUCCCUCUUUUCCUUUUUGUUUUUGGUUUGUUUUGAUUUAAUUGAUGUGCUUAUAUGUAAAGGGCACAGUGAGAAGUUAAAGGUGCCCCCCUCAUCCUCUGUGUUGACACUCAUAGUGUGUUGUGAUCCUACCAGUGACUUUGUGACCAUUCUUAAGUGUAAUAUACUAUCUUAUUGUUACAGGAGCUGAGUGCCGAAGGCGGGGUGGAUUUUGGUGGUGGUAUUGCUUCACGAGUGCUGUGCUGCGUGCAGUGGUGUGCGUGUGUGUGUGUGUUUCCACACAGGUGUAGCCAAAAUUGUGCGGUGCUGUGGAGGCCUAUUAGUGCCCUUAAUCCCUGCUGUCACGCCUCGGCUCCUGCUUUUACACCCAUAGAGGUAUUUGAGGAUGGAGGUCACCCGUAGUACAUCCUAUUAAAUUGAUUGUGUUGUGAUUUCAUUGUGUGCAUAAUACUCUUUUUUUAUAUUUAAUAAAAUUUCUUACUUAUUUUACCCACGUCUUCUACCAAUUCUUUAGUACAGGAACCUGCGUUGCCUAAGUGCAAGUUAUUAUCUCUGGCCAAGUGCCAGGGUGGCGUAGUCGCUAUAUAUAUUCUAUCAGCCCUCGG